UAUUAUAUUACGUUUAAAUAAGAGAUACUUGAGUAGUAAUAGUUAUGGUCUUGAAACUCAAAGAAUUUGGCGGUGUUUUAGUCCUUUCAGAGGAACCUGUUCUGUAAUUGAUAAUACACGAUUUGUUAAACUUUCCUUUGUUGUCAGUUUGUAUACCGCCGUCAUAAGAUUAUCUUAUGGAGAGUAAAAAAUUUCUUUAUUUUUAAUUAAUAGUGAUGUCAGGUCAAGGUGCAGCUGAUGGGAAAGUAGAAAUGGGUUACAAUAAUUUUAAUUAUAUGAAUAUAAUAGUAAGUGAUGAUUUGAAGGUGGAUUUGAUUGUAAAUGUAAAUUGAAUAUUACAUUGAUUAGGGCUCUAAAAUGUGCACACAUCGCCCGUCGCUCUCGUUUUAAUAUGAG
rnacentral:rRNA from 1 species